GAGGAUAUAGCUUAAUGGUAGUGUGUGCUUAGCAUGCAUAAGGUCCUGGAUUCAAUCCUGGUAUCUCCG
rfam:Camelus ferus unplaced genomic scaffold scaffold2190, whole genome shotgun sequence.